CCCGCAUGGACAGCCUGAAGGUGAAGGUGAAGUUGAAGCCCCGCCCCCGCGCGGUCCCAGGUGGGGAGGACUUGUCUCGACACGGAAAGAGGAUGAAGAAUUCCCGCUGGAGACGCUGGAGCGUUAGCAUCACACUCAGCCGGGGUCCUUGCAUCCCUAACGAGGCGGUCGCCAUACCAACAGAGGAGGAAGUAGACGUUCUGUUGAAGAAGUUGGGGGUGUGUCUUCGCC